CGCUGGCGGCGUGCCUAAUCAUGCAAGUCGAACGAACUCUGGUAUUGAUUGGUGCUUGCAUCAUGAUUUACAUUUGAGUGAGUGGCGAACUGGUGAGUAACACGUGGGAAACCUGCCCAGAAGCGGGGGAUAACACCUGGAAACAGAUGCUAAUACCGCAUAACAACUUGGACCGCAUGGUCCGAGUUUGAAAGAUGGCUUCGGCUAUCACUUUUGGAUGGUCCCGCGGCGUAUUAGCUAGAUGGUGGGGUAACGGCUCACCAUGGCAAUGAUACGUAGCCGACCUGAGAGGGUAAUCGGCCACAUUGGGACUGAGACACGGCCCAAACUCCUACGGGAGGCAGCAGUAGGGAAUCUUCCACAAUGGACGAAAGUCUGAUGGAGCAACGCCGCGUGAGUGAAGAAGGGUUUCGGCUCGUAAAACUCUGUUGUUAAAGAAGAACAUAUCUGAGAGUAACUGUUCAGGUAUUGACGGUAUUUAACCAGAAAGCCACGGCUAACUACGUGCCAGCAGCCGCGGUAAUACGUAGGUGGCAAGCGUUGUCCGGAUUUAUUGGGCGUAAAGCGAGCGCAGGCGGUUUUUUAAGUCUGAUGUGAAAGCCUUCGGCUCAACCGAAGAAGUGCAUCGGAAACUGGGAAACUUGAGUGCAGAAGAGGACAGUGGAACUCCAUGUGUAGCGGUGAAAUGCGUAGAUAUAUGGAAGAACACCAGUGGCGAAGGCGGCUGUCUGGUCUGUAACUGACGCUGAGGCUCGAAAGUAUGGGUAGCAAAC
rnacentral:rRNA from 2 species